AGCGAACGCUGGCGGCAGGCCUAACACAUGCAAGUCGAACGAACUCUUCGGAGUUAGUGGCGGACGGGUGAGUAACACGUGGGAACGUGCCUUUUGGUUCGGAAUAACUCAGGGAAACUUGUGCUAAUACCGAAUGUGCCCUUCGGGGGAAAGAUUUAUCGCCAUUAGAGCGGCCCGCGUCUGAUUAGCUAGUUGGUGAGGUAACGGCUCACCAAGGCGACGAUCAGUAGCUGGUCUGAGAGGAUGACCAGCCACACUGGGACUGAGACACGGCCCAGACUUCUACGGGAGGCAGCAGUGGGGAAUCUUGCGCAAUGGGCGAAAGCCUGACGCAGCCAUGCCGCGUGAAUGAUGAAGGUCUUAGGAUUGUAAAAUUCUUUCACCGGGGACGAUAAUGACGGUACCCGGAGAAGAAGCCCCGGCUAACUUCGUG
rnacentral:rRNA from 1 species